GACGAACGCUGGCGGCGUGCCUAAUACAUGCAAGUUGAGCGCUGAAGGUUGGUACUUGUACCAACUGGAUGAGCAGCGAACGGGUGAGUAACGCGUGGGGAAUCUGCCUUUGAGCGGGGGACAACAUUUGGAAACGAAUGCUAAUACCGCAUAAAAACUUUAAACACAAGUUUUAAGUUUGAAAGAUGCAAUUGCAUCACUCAAAGAUGAUCCCGCGUUGUAUUAGCUAGUUGGUGAGGUAAAGGCUCACCAAGGCGAUGAUACAUAGCCGACCUGAGAGGGUGAUCGGCCACAUUGGGACUGAGACACGGCCCAAACUCCUACGGGAGGCAGCAGUAGGGAAUCUUCGGAAAUGGACGAAAGUCUGAACGAGCAACGCCGCGUGAGUGAAGAAGGUUUUCGGAUCGUAAAACUCUGUUGGUAGAGAAGAACGUUGGUGAGAGUGGAAAGCUCAUCAAGUGACGGUAACUACCCAGAAAGGGACGGCUAACUACGUG
rnacentral:rRNA from 1 species